AAAGAGCCAUGAGUCACAGCAGCUGGCUCAAGGCUGGGAGGGGAAGUAAAACACUAAAUCUAAGGACCACUCUAUUCACCCUACAGUGACUGCUCUUUUUCCCUCCUGCCACAGUCCAGGGUAGGAGAUACUUCUCCAGGCUCUCACUUAUGGGGGCUUUCCUGCUGGCUACAUCACUGAAAUGGAAUCUCCUAGUGGCCCUUCUCCCUCUACAGCUCUGGUGUUACACUGAAAAACUAGAAGUUUCAAAACAGACAAGGGAAAAAGAGAAACAUCAGAAAGUCUGAUUAAAGUAGAAGCAUCAUAUUUCUAUCAACGUAUCCACUGUGCUUGGACUCUGUAAUAUUCACCGGCAGGAAAACCCAAGGGAAUGACUACUAUGACAUCUGAUGAGUCUCACGGUGUUGCCCAGGCUGAAUACAAUCGUGCAAUCAUGACUCUCUGCAGACUUGACAUCCUGGGCUCAUCAAGCAAUCCUCCUGCCUCAGCCUCCCGAAUAGCUGAGACUACAGGCACCCACCACCACAUCACACUCUACAAAAAAUUUCUGUUUUUUUGUAGAGAUGGGGUCUUGCUAUAUUGCCCAGGGUGGUCUCAAACUCCUGACUUCAAGUAAUCCUCCUGCCUUGGCCUCCCAAGGUGCUGGGAUUACAGGUGUGACCCACCACACCUGGCCAACUGCAGGGAUUCUUUAUUUGAAGAUCAUGGAUAGGUUUCAGGAAAUAUGUGAACACUCUGAAAUGUAUACCCUAGUUCUGUUUGUGUGAGUAUUAACUUUGAUCAGAUUUUCAGAGAGGUCUGUGACCAACUUCCUGCACUAAAAAAUGUUUACAAACCACUGCUCCACAGGAUAAAGUUCAAACCUCUCAGUCUAAAGGAAAUACAAAGCCAUUCAUGACACAGUUUUUACAUACACCAUCUUCAUUUUGGAUUUCUCAGCCCCAAUUGCUUGAACAUGUCUUGCCGUUUCUUAUCUCCUUGCCUUUGCUCAAGCUGUGUCCUCUGUCUUGAAGAUCCUCUUUUUCUCAUUCUUUCCAGGGAUCUCCCUCCCUUGGUUAAGUCCCAGUUAACUAGUAUAACUUCAUUCAAGAGUUUCUUCUUCCAGGAGCUUCCCAAUAUGAUUUGGCUGUGGGCCCCACCCAAAUCUCAUGUUGAAUUGUGAUCCCCAGAGUUGGAGGUAGACGUGGUGGGAGAUGGUUGGAUCAUGGGGGUGGUUUCUAAUGGUUUAACACUGUCUCCUAGUGUUGUUUUGUGACAGAGUUCUCACAAGAUCUUGUUGUUUGAAAGUGUGUAACACCUCCUACUUCGUGCACUUUCUCUUUUCCCUUCUUCACCAUGUGAAGAUGUGCCUGCUUCUCCUUCACCUUCUGCCAUAAUUGAAUGUUUCCUGAGGCCUCCCCAGCCAUGCUUCCUGUAUAGCCUGCAGAACGGUGAGCCAAUUAAACCCAUUUUCUUUAUAAAUUA
ensembl:lncRNA JUN-DT JUN divergent transcript